rnacentral:rRNA from 1 species
GUGCCAGCAGCCGCGGUAAUACGUAGGGUACAAGCGUUGUCCGGAAUUAUUGGGCGUAAAGAGCUCGUAGGUGGUUUGUCGCGUCUGCUGUGGAAUCGUGCCGCUUAACGGUGCGCGUGCAGUGGGUACGGGCAGACUGGAGUGCAGUAGGGGAGUCUGGAAUUCCUGGUGUAGCGGUGAAAUGCGCAGAUAUCAGGAGGAACACCGGUGGCGAAGGCGGGACUCUGGGCUGUUACUGACGCUGAGGAGCGAAAGCAUGGGGAGCGAACAGGAUUAGAUA